rnacentral:misc_RNA from 1 species
GAUGAAGAACGCAGCGAAAUGCGAUAAGUAAUGUGAAUUGCAGAAUUCAGUGAAUCAUCGAAUCUUUGAACGCACAUUGCGCCCCUCGGUAUUCCGGGGGGCAUGCCUGUUCGAGCGUCAUUUCAACCAUCAAGCCCCAGGCUUGUGUUGGGGACCUGCGGCUGCCGCAGGCCCUGAAAACCAGUGGCGGGCUCGCUGUCACACCGGGCGUAGUAGAUUUUAUCUCGCUCAGGGCGUGCUGCGGGUUCCGGCCGUUAAAAAGCCUUUUUUACCCAAGGUUGACCUCGGAUCAGGUAGGAAGACCCGCUGAACUUAAGCAUAUCAAUAAGCGGAGGA